GUCAGACCUGGAGAGAGUAUUUUCCUUUGACGAAAAGAUAAGUCCACAAAAGAAAAAAGGGAAAAAGACUUAUGGAAGCAAUGGCAGGGUUAAAAAAAAUGGAGGAUCUCCACUUUACAAAAUGGAUGACCAUCUGCUGUGGGUACUCUGAUUCUGUGUUCCUGCAUGGCAAAGGGCUGGACUGAAUGGCACUUGUGGUCUCGUCUAAUUCUACAAUACUAUGAAAACUGCUAAAUGUGAAGGGGUAACAGUACAAUAAAAACCCCAUGUCACACAUCUUGGUCUCCACAUCUUUCAUCAUUGUUCAUCUCUAAACACAUUCGCCAGUAUCUUCCUGCUGCCCAAAAAGAAGUACACCAUAUCCACAAAUAAAAAUCAGAGACCAGCCACUGCACCACCUUUAAAAGGUAUCAGCAAAGGAAAGGAUGAUGACGCAUUUCCCCCAUGUGAAAAAGUCCCAGGAGAAUGAGGAAUGUGGCAGUGGCUCCUACCGCCAAGAGAGCAGCAGUCUACAGGAACAAAGGCACUUUGAGAAGGGAGAUCAUAUGUCUGCUAGGCAGGAUUUGUCCCAGUGAGCCAGUAAUUGGAGGCAGGUUCCAAAAAAGUGUGGAAUCACAGGCUCCAUAUUCACCAGGAGCUUGAAAACUAUUUUAAGGCAGAGUGGAACUAAAAGAUGGAAGAAAAAUUGCACCCAAUGAUGUUCCUUGUGCUGUAUUUGUCUUUCAGUUUGUAUUGUUACUGCUGUAUGCUGUUUUUUCUUUUACUUUGUACAGUAUUAUUUGUAUUGUUAUUGCUGUAUCGCGCAACAAUGUGAAGAUUAUCACACGACAUCAUGUGAUAAUCUUCACGUCACCACACAAUACUGACAGUCGCAUAUCACUAUGCUCCCGUGUCUUUGCUGGUGUGAUAAUCUCCUAAAUCUAUUCUAUGUUUGAUCAGUAUGUGUGUGUGUUAUGUGCCUUCAAGUUGCCUGUUGACCUAUGGCAUCCUCAUGAAUUUCAUAGGGCUGUUUUUAGGCAAGGAAUACUCGAGAGAUGGUUUUGCCAGUUCCUUCUACCUUCCGUUUAUUAUAUUUAUUUUAGUCACUCAUAUUCUUCCUUUUCCCCAAUAAUGAAUUGAAGGCAGCUGACAAAAUAUUAGGAACAGAUUUAAACAUACAAAACAUCAGUAAAAAUAUAUGUUAUCUUUAAAAGUAAUUCAUCUAUGGAAUUAGAACUAUUAAAAUGUGGAUAUAUUAAAACAAAACAAUGCACCAUUUAAAACCUAUGUUAGUCUGAUGUUACAUACACAUAGUGGAACCUGGUGGUUGAGGGACUAGGUAAGCAACCUACUCCACCAGCUGACACAUCUGCCCAUUUACCUGUGAGCUCUAAGGCCUCACUUGUGAACAAUAUUCUAUAUUCUAUAUUAUUAUUAUUGUUAUUAUUAUUAUUAUUACCCCACCUUUCUCCCAACAAUGGGAAUCAAGGCAGCCAACAACAUAAAACGCAGAUUAAAAACUACAGUCAUCCCUCCAUAUUUGCGGCUUUGAUAUUUGUGGAUUUGAUUAUUCACGGAUUUCAUUAAUAUGUUCU